rnacentral:rRNA from 1 species
UCCCAGUUCGGACUGCAGGCUGCAACUCGCCUGCACGAAGCCGGAGUUGCUAGUAAUCGCGGAUCAGAAUGCCGCGGUGAAUGCGUUCCCGGGUCUUGUACACACCGCCCGUCACACCAUGGAAGUUGGGGGUGCCCAAAGCCGGCAGGGAAAUAUGCUGUCUAAGGCAAAACCAAUGACUGGGGUGAAGUCGUAACAAGGUAUC